GUAAAUUUUACAGUUUGCUUUUUUCACAGUUUUUAGUCUUAAAAAAAUAGUAAAAAUAAAAAUUUUGAUUUGGUUGUAGCUGAUGCAAUAGCUACCGCUAUGUAGAAUAUGUCGUUUAAAUUUCAUUAAGAUCGGGUCAGUGGUUUCGGAGAUAUCAUGUACGUCAACCAGAAAAACAUACUUUUGAGAUAAACAAGUUUAAAGUUUUUUUAAUUAAAAAAAAAACAAAAUCUUACCUAAAGUCAGUCAGCAAUGU